rnacentral:rRNA from 1 species
GACGAACGCUGGCGGCGUGCCUAAUACAUGCAAGUAGGACGCAGUUGCGAACGUGUGAGUUACGCGUAGGUAACUACCUAUUAUAGGGGGAUAACUAUUGGAAACGAUAGCUAAUACCGCAUACUAGUAGAUGGACCUGCGUUGUAUUAGCUAGUAGGUCGGGUAAUGGCCUACCUAGGCAACGAUACAUAACCGACCUGGGAGGGUGAGCGGCCAAAAUGGGACUUAGACACGGCCCAAACUCCUAAGGGAGGCAGGAGUAGGGGAACUUCGGCAAUGGGGGGAAAGCUGACCGAGCAACGCCGCGUGAGUGAAGAAGGUUUUCGGAUCGUAAAGCUCUGUUGUUAAGGAAGCGGUACUUAACCAGAAAGGGACGGCUAACUACGUGCCAGCCGCCGCGGUAAUUC